rnacentral:tRNA from 1 species
GGGGGGGUAGCCAAAUCCGGCUAAGGCGAUCGCCUGCAGAGCGAUCAUGUCUGGGUUCAAAUCCCAGCCCUCCCU